rnacentral:misc_RNA from 1 species
GAUGAAGAACGCAGCGAAAUGCGAUAAGUAGUGUGAAUUGCAGAAUUCAGUGAAUCAUCGAAUCUUUGAACGCACAUUGCGCCCGCCAGUAUUCUGGCGGGCAUGCCUGUUCGAGCGUCAUUUCAACCAUCAAGCCCCCGGCUUGUGUUGGGGACCUGCGGCUGCCGCAGGCCCUGAAAACCAGUGGCGGGCUCGCUAGUCACUCCGAGCGUAGUAAUACAUCUCGCUCAGGGCGUGCUACGGGUUCCGGCCGUUAAAAAGCCUUAUUUACCCAAGGUUGACCUCGGAUCAGGUAGGAAGACCCGCUGAACUUAAGCAUAUCAAUAAGCGGAGGA